rnacentral:rRNA from 1 species
GUGGGGAAUCUUCCGCAAUGGACGAAAGUCUGACGGAGCAACGCCGCGUGAGUGAUGAAGGUCUUCGGAUUGUAAAGCUCUGUUAAUCGGGACGAAAGAGCCUAGUGUGAAUAAUGCUAGGAAGUGACGGUACCGGAAUAGAAAGCCACGGCUAACUACGUGCCAGCAGCCGCGGUAAUACGUAGGUGGCAAGCGUUGUCCGGAAUUAUUGGGCGUAAAGCGCGCGCAGGAGGAUCUGCCAGUCUGUCUUAAAAGUUCGGUGCUUAACCCCGUGAUGGGAUGGAAACUACAGAUCUAGAGUAUCGGAGAGGAAAGUGGAAUUCCUAGUGUAGCGGUGAAAUGCGUAGAUAUUAGGAAGAACACCAGUGGCGAAGGCGACUUUCUGGACGAAAACUGACGCUGAGGCGCGAAAGCCAGGGGAGCGAACGGGAUUAGAAACCCCUGUAGUCC